CCAACCAGCUGAUCGUAUUGUCAGAGUAGCACUAGAUGUCCAACCAGCUGAUCGCAUUGUCAGAGUAGCACUAGAUGUCCAACCAGCUGAUCGUAUUGUCAGAGUAGCACUAGAUGUCCAUCCAGCUGAUCGUAUUGUCAGAGUAGCACUAGAUGUCCAACCAGCUGAUCGUAUUGUCAGAGUAGCACUAGAUGUCCAACCAGCUGAUCGUAUUGUCAGAGUAGCACUAGAUGUCCAACCAGAUCUCGGACAGGAAACAACUAGAUCUGGCAUCAUCUUGCAGUUGUUGUUCUUGUCCACAGCCUGUAGAUAGAAAGUUGAGCUCUGUUGAUUUUCAUCUGUUAGUGAUCCAACAUACACUACACAUGUUUCCUACCUAUGGUGUGUUAGGUUUGGGCUGGAUGGAUAGAGCCCACUGGAUAUUAAACGUCAUGCUUGGUAUCCUCCCCACCCUCAAAUAGCCAGGACUUGAGCAAAAUGAGAUAUGAUUAAAUAGCAAAUCAGCUUCAAGCUUACAUAGCUUCAAGAUGGUGGUCACGAAACAUUUUCUGAAAAUGGCAAUACAAUAAAUUAAAUGAUUUAAAGUGCAGAACAAGUCUUACAAAGGCAUACUAUACAAAGCUUUGAGAAACAAGGAGAAAAUACAUAAAGCCAUCCAACUCUAACAAACAACCUAGGGACAGAUGUACUAGCUAAGCACUUUGCAUUUAAACUGCGUAGUGAAAAUAUCAAGUAAAGGUAAGAGAUGGAUUACAACCUUUGGCCUUUUGUUUGGAAAUAAUCCAUUUGAUCUGAAUUUCACUAUGCACUAAAUAGCUUAUACAUGUUUUUUUAGUUUUUCACUCAAUGACAGUUAAUUUCAUAUAACAUAACGUGAAAAUGAUUUUAUUUUUACCAGAAAUAACUUAUGAUUGUUCUGUAUGGAAACCCUUGCAUGCUUUCAGUAAAUAUACUCAUUACAUUGAACUCACACCUACUCUACGUGCAAAUGUAAACCACAUUCAUGUCUCAAAAGCUGUGAGGAAAUACCAGCUACAUGUUUUUCAUGUUAUGAUUUAUUUUGGUUAUGCCACAUAUGUUUUGUUGAUACAUUCAUUUAGUGGAGGUAAAAAUUAGUGGAGGUAAAAAUUAGUGGAGGUAAAAAAAAACAACAGCUGUUGAACUGAUUUCAAUGUGAAUUUUCUUGCCUCUUGUGUAUAUGUGUAAUUACAUGUGAAUUGUACUGUAAAUAUGAUAUCUUUCACUGAAUAUUUCUUAAUGCAUGAACAAAACAGGGCAGUUCGUAUUAGCAGCUAGCUUCACUGCUAAUGGCAUGGACAGCUUCUAUGGCAUUGGCAUACUUCUGCAAAGAAAACCUAAAAAAAAAAAAAUGUUAAGAAGAGAAGAUUAAGGUUUUGUUUUGCAUGACCUAAGUUUGGAAAGGUUUAUUUUCGUAUUUUUCUAUUUCACACUGUUCAUCAGCUUCAUUCUCACAGCCAGGAAAGGAAGGACCCAGUGUUUACAUGCUCUAGUUGCACUUGUUUUACAGCCAGCUCGACAAAACACUGUAAAACAAACUGUACAUUCAAUAAAACUGGAGAAAAACUGAAAAAUAGAAUGUACAUUAUAUGAUUCAUGGUUAACAUGAAUAAUAUGUACCUCUCAAUCAUAUUCACUUACUGUGUACCGAAGCACAUACAAUUUGGAAUCAAUGCACCAAGUACAUACUGUAGUUUUAUCAGGUUUAGCUUUAGCACUAACAUCAAUCGCCCUUCAACUACAAAGGAUGUAAAGGAUGCUUACCUGUAGCAUCUGAACUUAAGCCAUGAGAUUGCAUGCUGAGUGGGUAUUCCCAGCCGUUUCUCUUAAAUGAGUUGCCUCUGGACUGGGGGGUUCUGGUCUGUUACUGAUUAUGAUGAUACUUGCAGGAGGCUGUGCUGAGUCCAAAUUAUACAUCAGUAUAGCUCCCUCUUUCAAUAAGUUUUUACCAGGGAAAACACUACUUGUAAAACAAAUAGCUAUGGGGAAAAUUCUGUAAAAAUGUUUUAAAAAAAAAAUACAAUUGAAAGGCCACCAACCCAUAUCUAUUUUAAAGAUUUCAAUCAGUAUUUUAUAAUUAUUUUUAUUUUUAUUUUUUUUUCUUCGUAAUUGGCUGUAUUUGUUGCGUUUUGUUAUGGAUUGUUAUUAUUACUGUUGUUUUCUCAUAAAAAGGACAUGUACUUACAACCUACCCCGGAAGAAAAUGUAUUAAUUUUUUGCACUGUAAUUGUUGAGUUCACAUUGGGCGCUUUAUUUGAUUCAGUUAUCUAAUCAGGUGUUUUAUUUCAUUUGGGGUAUAAGUUGUACUCAUGGAAUCAACAUUUGUAUAGUAUGAAGUUGUAUUUACUUUUUUUGUCAGUGCCAAUUAAUGUUAUAGUGUCAAUCAGCUUUUUUAGGUGUUUGAGCAAAAUGUGUUUUUUACAAAUACAAGGUGUUAAAGUAUGUGAUAUAAAAGGGUUAUCAUUCAAACAACAGACUUUUUACUAAUAAAGGCUUAUACAGUAAAGAAUGACAAUGUCUUUUUGUUUGCCCUUUGAGGACUAAUAUCUAUUGUUUAAUUAACAUUUUUUUGCUGAGUUCAUUUUAAUGUGUUAGUCCCCAAAAGGUAAAUAACAUACUCUGUUGCAAAAAAAAUCAAUUGAAAAACGAAAUAAGUUCUUUACCGUUGCAAUUCCAAGCUUUCGUGGGAGGUUACACCUAUUUGUUGGUGUGUUGCUUUCUCAUAAGGGCUGUUGGGCUAUCAGCCAUGAGUACAAAAGAGAGAAAAGACAAGAGAGUGUCUUCUUGUUACAGAUUUUAAUUUGAUUACAACCAUGACGCAUUAAUGAGAGUAUACCUCCUUUCAUGCCCUAUUUCCUGAAUAAAGACACAAAGUGAUUCCUGCUGAGAA
rnacentral:lncRNA from 1 species